rfam:Chloroflexi bacterium RBG_16_60_22 RBG_16_scaffold_32816, whole genome shotgun sequence.
GACAACUGUAGAGACAGUCCCGAGACAGCGGGUGUCCUUCCCCAGAAGGACUUAAUGUAGUGCCUGCCGAGGAUGAAGCCAGACCGGACGGAGUCCGGAAUUGAUGAUGUCCUUGUGCGGCCGGCACAGGGACUUUUUCUUUACAUAA